rnacentral:tRNA from 1 species
CCGCCAUUAGCUCAAAGGGAGAGCACGCAGAGAUUUGCCUCUGCGGUUCGGGGUUCGAUUCCCCGAUGGCGGACCA